rnacentral:rRNA from 1 species
UAAGGAAUAUUGGUCAAUGGACGCAAGUCUGAACCAGCCAUGCCGCGUGAAGGAAGACGGCCCUACGGGUUGUAAACUUCUUUUGUACGAGAAAAAACCACCGGUCGUGAAUCGGUGCUGAUGGUACCGUAAGAAUAAGCAUCGGCUAACUCCGUGCCAGCAGCCGCGGUAAUACGGAGGAUGCAAGCGUUAUCCGGAUGCAUUGGGUUUAAAGGGUGCGCAGGCGGAAUGAUAAGUCAGUGGUGAAAUCCUACGGCUCAACUGUAGAACUGCCAUUGAUAC